CCUACGGGAGGCAGCAGUGAGGAAUAUUGGUCAAUGGGCGGAAGCCUGAACCAGCCAAGUAGCGUGCAGGAUGACGGCCCUACGGGUUGUAAACUGCUUUUAUACGGGAAUAACGCGCCUUACGUGUAGGCCUUUGCAUGUACCGUAUGAAUAAGGACCGGGUAAUACCGUGCCAGCAGCCGCGGUAAUACGGAAGGUCCGGCCGUUAUCCGGAUUUAUUGGGUUUAAAGGGAGCGUAGGCCGCAUGUCAAUCGUGCUGUGAAAUGUCCGGGGUCAACCCGGGCCUUGGAGCGCGAACCGGCGUGCUUGAGUCCGCGGAAAGCAGGCGGAAUUCGUCGUGUAGCGGGGAAAUGCUU
rnacentral:rRNA from 1 species